UACGUAGGGUGCGAGCGUUAAUCGGAAUUACUGGGCGUAAAGCGUGCGCAGGCGGUUUGUUAAGCCAGAUGUGAAAGCCCCGGGCUCAACCUGGGAACUGCGUUUGGUACUGGCAAGCUAGAGUACGGCAGAGGGGUGUGGAAUUCCACGUGUAGCAGUGAAAUGCGUAGAGAUGUGGAGGAACACCGAUGGCGAAGGCAGCCCCCUGGGCCGAUACUGACGCUCAGGCACGAAAGCGUGGGGAGCAAACAGG
rnacentral:rRNA from 1 species